UAAGAAGCUUUAGGACGGGCUAUGAAAGACGAAUUAUUAUUAUUCCGAGACCUAAGUUUGUGAUUGUCACAGGGCUAUAAGCUCGUCAAUAUGAAGGGUUGUAUAAUUUUGCCUGUUUUGGUAAUGAUAAUCUCGUGUGCCUUCCAUUUCGCGGAUGGUAUCAUUGCGGGUUGUACCUUUAACUGCAACAUUUGGCUCGCGUGUCGAAUGAAAUAUGGAGGGAACCGGGAGGUUUGCGGUCCUCCACCAGCAGAUUGUGACUGUUCUUUUGGGGAAUUUUAGAUUUAUUUACAUUUAUUAGGUUAGCAGCCAAAAGCAAUUGCAAAUAACAAGCUACAUCAAAUUAAAAUUGCAGUACAAUUAACUUAAAAUGAAAACAAAUUGUUUUUAGGUAGGUAAUAAUAAUGUUUAUAUUAUAGGACUUAAUAAAGGUUGAUCUAGCCCUU